GGCGGUGAGCCCCUUACGCAGGGAUGGGGGUCUGCCUUCAAUUGUCAAUCCAAUCCUCCUGGUGAACUGCUGGCUAGCGGCACAGCGCCGAGUUCAGAUACAGAUGAGCAGCACGAUUGAAAUUGAUUGGUCCAGGUCACAGCACCUAUUCGAUCUCCUGAGAUAAGGACAGAGACUCUCCUGCCAUAGCUCUGCAGAUCCAAGGAUGCCUCCGUAGGCUUGAUCCUGAUAGACGACGAAUUAUCCACCGCUCCCUGCAAACACAACAGCUGGAAGAGAACUUGAAAACCAGAAGUAGGAAACAAGAUGGCUUUUUCGAUCUGACAUGUCUGAGCAGGACCGUAACCUCGCAUGCUGGAUAUGUGCUGUUCCGUCAAGUAUGGGGUGGCUUGUAUAAAGCAUAUCUUUUAGGAUUCUAAACCAGCCUGCAUGGUGGCAACACAGUCUUCUGAUGCUGCAGCUUGACCCUCUAUGUGAAGAAAGGCGAAGGGAAAAAUCCAACUGUGAUUUAAUAUGUGCCAUUGCUGGAGUGAGAUCAGUUGCAGCCACCAUCAGGCAGGCAAGAGAUGUGCGACCAGCCAUCAGGGCUGAAAUGAUAUCCGCUUGAAGAUUUUCUGCCCGUUUUGCUGCAUCUGAUUCUCUUUCAACAAUAUCAUAUGUAGCCAGUGUAUCCUGUGCACUAAAUUGAGGUCACUGCUUCAGCUGUUUUCUGACUGGUGGAUCCCGGGGUCGGGAUUGCCUUAGUGUCAGUUGGAUACGGGGAGGCCAGACUAAAGGGUAUUUUUUCAAAGGAAGCAACCACUUUAGAGAAGAUCUCAAUUCUCCCCGUGGACAGUCUACUUAGGGAAGGCAUAUUUGGGGAACCAAUUUUUUUUCCCUGGAAAUAGCCAUUUUUGAUUUUUGACCCAAAUCUGCUUGAAGAACUCUAAACCUGGGAGCCAGCCCAACGUGGGUGAGAACAGAUUGAGAGAGAGACUGGUCAAGGAAAGGUUGUGGAUGAUCCAAUGACAGCCACUGAGGGAAUUGUUUCAGAGAAGUCUUCUCCCUUUUUGAACUGGUUUGAAACAGUGUCUUCAUUAAACAUUUCCUAAUACAGAAUUGGAUUCCACAUUAAGCAUUAUUUUCAAGAGUUAAGGAAUUGGGAACAUUAUGAAAUCAUUUGGUUCUUGGCAGGUAUCCCAAACUUUCCCAUUCACCAGGAUUCUAACUGUUACCUGUGUGGAGUCCAUUUGGAUUUUUGACUUGGAUUAUCCAGAUUACAACAGUUGGGUUGCCACUUUGCUUGGCAUGAGAAGACUUCUGGGACACUGGAGGGAAUUCCAAACUGCAAUAAUUUUCACCUUUUCUAGAGAGAAAUCAUUCCGGUUUCACCUGAACAGUUUCCAGUGAUGCUGUAAAAAUGGAAAUAAUGUCUGACCAUCUUGGAGCGUCUAGAAAGAAAAUGAGUUAAGUCUCAACUAUUUUGGAAAAGUGACCUUCCUGAGAGCAAGGAUCCUGUUUUGAAUUUGCCAGAUAUUAAAAAAGAAAGGGGAUGCUUAGCUGAGCCGCAGUGCAAACCCGAAAAACAUCUGGAAGAAGAGAUGCGGGAAGUCUUCACUACCUGAAUGUGCUACUCUCAGGAAUUUCACCAUCUAAGCAAAAGGGAGGUAGGAGAUUACAGGGCCAAACGGAAGCUCGGAGAAAGCCCUGGCCCGUGCUUGGUUCGACCCACUCGGGAUAAGGAGCAAUGGUAGCCCGGCUGGUGUCCGUUGCAAGAAGGUCAGUCGGCUUUCGAGGCGCUAACCGGUUCAUGGUGAAGUGCUGAAAUGUAUCAUUUAGCUUACCUGGAAGAUGAGGCUGAAAAUCUCCACCGACCUAUUCGCCGCGUGGACCCGGGUCACUGUCUCCUGCAGUUCUCUGAUGGUACCGCUCAGGGGAAGCCUGGGACCCCAGUUACCAAAUUGCCGCUCGGAAAUCAUUUAGACUGAUGCCUCAGCAGGGGACGUCCGCCUUUGAAGGGAAUGAAUAUAUGUAGUUCCAAAGAAUCAGAUAAUGCACCGACACGUAGCCAAAAAGUUCAUGAUUUCAGAAGGUCGUGGAUUUGAAUCCCGGCUCCAACACUUGCCUGCUGUGUGACCUCGGACAAGUCGCUUUACUUCUC